CUAUGAUAAUGACAGACCACAGCUUUUGAAAAUGGGGACCCGAAACAUUUAAAACAAUAGCUUUCAAGGAUCAUGCAUACAUAUCCCAUAUUGGGUCUGCAGAAACCUCUCUUGUGGAUGUUCUAACAAUGCUGAAAGGACAAAGUAAAAAGUGAGGUUUAUUUAUUUCUGUAACAUUCUGAAAAAUCUUGAGUAUGUUGAUAAAAUGAGGCUAACCAAUCUUAAAAGGUAGU
rnacentral:sRNA from 1 species